ensembl:lncRNA
CAGGAAAUUCCUGAGCUCACGUGUCUGCGGGGAGGAGGCCCCCCAGAACGCACCCCCUCACGCUGCAUUCAGGACCCGCUUCCGCCUGUUCCCACAGCUGCUGGGCUGAGCGGGGGGCCAUGGCUGUGGGCUGGACGCUGGAUGCAGUGGAACAGGCAAACGUUGGGCGUCAAGGUCAAAGCAGGCGGUCCUCCACUCACUUCCUCCCGACAAGAGGAGCCGAUUCGAGCCUCUGCUGCUUGCUCAGCGGGAUUUCAGAGUCGGUGGGUUUUACGAGAGACUUGAAUCCUCUUCCCAGAGGCUGAAUCCCAUGGACAGAGGAGCCUGGCGGGCUACAGUCCCUGGGGCGCAAGAGUCGGACACAACUGAGCGACUAAACCACCACCGCCCAGAGGCUGACCCAGGCACAGGGCUGCUCUGGCAGGGAGCUCCUGGUUUGGCCGGUCAUGCAAUUGAAGCAGAGAAGCAGCAGGAGAUCUGCCACCUUGAGGGGUUUCCUGGUCUUGUCACCCAAGGGCCCCCACCCCCACACUGGCUCGGGGUCCUUACUCGACGGAGAGGAUGCAACAAACCUACAAAAUUAAAAGGCAAUUUCUGUUCAUUUGCAAGAUACACAGAUCCUGCUGAGGAUUCCUGUGUGGCCGCAUCAGUACAGAGGACGACCUGCUGGGACAGAAGCCGCUGUGCCUUCCACGUAGGGGGCUGCCACCUGCCUGAAAAAUGUGGGUCUGGGGUCCCGGCUGGGAGCUCCCAAGGCUGACACCCUUGGUACUCCCUCCUGUUAGCGCUGGAAUUAAGGGAAGUGUUAGUCACUCAGUCGUGUCUGACUCUUUGUGACUCCAUAGACUGUAGGCUGCCAGACUCCUCUGUCCGUGGGAUUUUCCAGGCAAGAAUACUGGAGUGGGUUGCUGUACCCUCCUCCAGGGGAUCUUGCUGACCCAGGGAUCAAACGCAGGUCUCUUUCAUUGCAGGGAGAUUCUUUACUGACUGAGCCACCAGGUAAUUAAGGGAACCGAGGCUCAAAAAGGUCAGGCCAGCUGCUUGAGGUCACCUGAGAGCGGGAGUGGGUGGGAUUCUCUGUACUUUGUGCUGAAUGCUCCAGGGUUCUCCAGAAUGCCCGCUGGGGAGCCACAGCAUGUGCAAGAGCUCAGGGCUUUGCCUGUGACAGGAUCAGGUUGUUUUCACCCGCUCUUACGCAUACUGCAUGACUUUUCUCUGUCCUCCUGACACUGCCCAGUGAUGUGGCUCCUGCCGGCCCUGCAAGGCAAGGUCAGGCAGCGCCGUGGAGGGGACCGUGGGCUCCACCCCCAACACACGUGUGAUGGCAGAACUGGGCUGGAAGGACCUGUGCCUCGCUCUGUGGCGCGAGCUGAACAGAGGUGGGGUCAGGGCGCUUCCAGGGCAGAAUUGGCUGGCUCCUGGUCGCUAGUGAAGUGAACCGCUCUCCGAAGUUUAAGGGGCAGGGGUGUGUGUGUCCUGUGGCCCUUUGACUGUGACCCUGGACUGUCUCUGACAGGCAGGGGACCUCUUAUCUUGGCUCGCCCUGAGUGUCCAGCCGUCUGUUCUGGUCAGUCACGGGUGGGCAGAGACAGGACUGUAGGCUCCCCUGUGUCCCUCUACGAGGCCAGUCAGAGGAGGGCUCCCUCCCCGCCCUGCCCAGCAGGCUGCCCGCUGGGCAGCCGUCCUACCCAAACCUAUUAAUAGCCUGUUUCCAGUAGAUUCCCCGUCAAGCAGGGCCUCAUUUUUAGCAGCUCCCUGUUACAAUUGUAGGAAAAGUUCCCUUUGAACGUCUUCCUGCCAGAGGAUGGUUCAGCCCCCGCUCCCGUGUGCCGGGCGGGUGCCCUUCCACACGCUCCUCCCGGGAGGGACUGUCUGUCUGGGAGCUGCCUGGAUGAGCAUCUGGGGAGGGGGUGGGGGGUGCCCUGCCAAGCUCACAGGGACUCAUGUCUCCUCCCUGGAGCCUGGUUCGUCACACCUUCCAGUUCAUUCGGAGAUGGGCCCCCUGCCAGGUGGCCACCUCCUUGGAGGGCCCUCGCCUGCCCCCACCAGAGAGAAGCAGCUCUUGGGAGAAAACCAGGCAAAGUCACAUUCACAUCAGAGGUGCCUGGGGCCUGGAGCCCCGUGCUGAGCAGGAGUGACCUCUGCCAUGGGGACCCCUCCCUCGAUGGGCUGGCUGUACUCUUCUGCUCUUUCCUCCACAUGGGCAGUUACCCCUCCAGACAGCGGGGUUCCUUCUGGGCUCUGCUCUCUGGGCUGGAGUUUGGGGCUGGAGGCUCAGCCGAAUCCCCUGGGCUUCCUACGGCGCCAUCGGCAGUUUCCUGGCCUGGAUGCUGUGUCUGGAGUGGGACCUGGGGAGGAGCAAGCAAGCCUGGGUCCAGUAGCUUUGUCCUGUUCCAGAGUGGCCUGAAUCUUGUAGGUUAUGCUGACCACAGGCAAUGAUGUGAAAUUUGACUCCUGACUAUGCAUGCUUAACACAGAAUCUUCCUUCAUUCAGAAAGUUACUUUCAUAGACAAAAAUAUUAAUAAGUGAAAAUUAAAACCAAAUCUAUCUUUCACUUUCAAAAGACCUAAAAAAAACAAAAAAGACACAGAGUCCCAGCCGCUAGGAACAUGGAACAUCUAAUGCUUCCUGGGUUUCUCAUCCUCACGGAGCGGGGGCAGGGUGUGGGUGGAAUGUGGGGCUGAAAGGACCUCCUUCCCUGCUGGGGGGUUGUGGGGUCGCAGCCCUGCUCUCACCGUGGUGGCUUGGGGCUGAAGGCCUCUGGCAGAGAGAGCGUUUAUUUUUGUAGCAUCACUUCCUUACUCCCCCAAACGAUAACUGUUUGGAUUAUUUAUUAUUAAAUCAGAGGGGGCAGGAACCUCAAAUCUAAUUUGGUUUUCACUGUUUGCACACUCUUUGUUUAUCUUUCAUUCAUUACUGAGCUUGAGAAAGUAUGAGAGAGAACUGGCCAUUCGAUCCACUUUGUGAGUUUCCUUCGGCUGGUUCCCAGCUGUAGCACUUCUUUCUCGGCUACUCGUGUUAUUGAAAUAACAACGUUUAUCCACGAAUACUCCAAAAUGCAGAAGGAAAAGCCGUGCAGUAAAACACGCAAGGAAUCAUUCCACAUGUGCUGUGCCCCGGGGGGCCCAGGGAGCAGACAGCCUCCACAGGCAUCAGCCUUGCAGGUGAACCCCUUGAAAGAAGUAUCCGUUUAGUAUGAGGACUUUAGUGGCUAGACCACAGUGACAACAUGGAGCAUCCUGAACACCCCUGCUCCCACAGACCCACUGAAGGGACAUCUCCACAUGGGGUAACUUCCUCUAAACCAAACAACCCAGCCGGGGAGCCCAUCGGGGUUUGACAGGCAGACCCUCCUGUCAAGGACCCUCUGCACAGCAUCUGUGCGCUUUAAAUCUGCCUUAAAACUGAGAACCAGGAAAGAAACAGAACAAAACAAGGUCUGGCAGUGAACGCCCAGGUGGACUGAAAACAAGCAAAGAAAGAGGGAGAAGGCGACUUGGCUGGGUUCAGCCUCUAUAGUGACUCCUCUGUGAGCCAGACUCCCUUCCCUGGCCGUCCUCCUCGGAGGGAGGGGCGCUGCCCACGUGGCGGGGCCUGGAGCCAGACCCCGAACCUUCUGCCGCUUGACCGACCCGGCCGGCAGCCCUCCUUGGAAGCCCUCCUGCUCAUCACCAAGUGCAAGGAAAUGAGCUGCCUUUUGGAAGUGAACUUUGGGCCUCUGUGUUCCAGUUUCAGAGGGAAAGUUGGCUGCUCUGUGUUUAUGAGUCUACGCAGGGGUCCAGAAGGUCUUCACAAGUCGUCUCAGGGGUCUGGAAAGGUCUUUUGGAUGGGAGGUAGAGGGAGUAGGUGGCACUGCUCUGGAUGGCACCUUUGUGAACUGAACCUCCGGGGAAACCACAACACCGAUUGCUCCGGCGGCCGCGGACCGCAGACCGAGAAUAGAGGGCUGACCACUUCCUGACAGGGUGGUUUGACUGCUGGGGCCGAGCAGGGGGCAGCUGUAGACAGAGGACUGGAUCCGCCCAGGCCUCAGCCUGCACAGGACACUUGCUGACACCUGGGUUUCGGAUUUCUGCACACACAGCAGGAAGGAAGAAUCCAGGGCCCCUUCUCACCCACCUGGUGGCUCAGAUGGUAAAGAAUCUGCCUGUCAAUGCAGGAGACUCAGGCUCGACCCCUGGGUUGGGAAGAUUUCCUGGAGGAGGGAAUGGCUACCCAAUCCAGUAUUCUUGCCUGGGAAAUCCCGUGGACAGAGGAGCCUGUUGGGCUGCAGACCACGGGGGUCGCAAAGAAUUGGAUACGACUGAGCUACUAAUACUUUCUCACCCACACUGUGCAGCUCCUAUUUCAGUGAGGAAGGAGGCAGCCUGGGCGCAUGUAAAGAAACCUCCAGUGAUUGUUCCUUUGUCACGAGUGCGUGUCUCCGCUCCGGUCCUUUCUGUUCAGAUGGUGAGUGGGUGUGUAGGACACAGGAGCUGUGCCCUGCUGCCUGCCCGUGUCUGCUGCGUGCCUGGCACACCUGGAGAAGGGCGCCCUCAAGCGCAGCAGAACCAGAGCGCUCCUGCCCUGAGACCUGGGAGCACUGAAUUGGGGCUCUGAGCCAUCAGGCUCACUGGAGACGGGCCUCGCUUCUCAGCAGCCUCUGCUCCUGUUGCGGGGUGGUCAUUUCCCAGCAUUGAGAAUGCUGUCCUGGGAAGGGGGGAGACUCCAGCCCCUGGAGGAGGAGAAGGUGGUGAGGCGGUCCCUGAGUUUGGCUCCCAGGUCCACUUCCUUUUCUACUGUUUGACAGCACAGAGCAGUUACGCGUGAAAACCCCAAACUGCUUACUUCCUAAUGAAGAGAAUUCAGAUCACGUUGGCUGUGGAAAUCCACGCUUAUGAGUGGGUACUGUCCCAGUUCCCCAUGACGGAUCACCCCUCAGGCUUCCGAGCCCCGGGCGUGUCCCCUGCGGGAAGCGUCUGAGCAGCAAGCAUUCUUUGUGAGUGAGACAGGAGCAUUGUCAGGAGCAUAACUAGGCUUACAAACACCUGCUCGCCCUCCCACAUCCUGCGUGCAGGUACAAGUGCAGUUUUCAGCAGAGACAGGUCUAUUUCCCAACAGCUCCAACAGGUAAAAACUGGCAGAAGUUCCUGGCAUCACACGCCCCCUAAUUGUCCUUCUAGCUGAUACCUGUUCUGAGUCGCUCCAGGUGGAUUUAGGAUAAAGCCGUCCUGUGAUUCUCCAACUGCGAGGCAUUCCACGGGCCUUGCCUUUAAGCUCGGUGGUUGCACAGACCAUACAGAGGGGCUCAGAGGAUCACAGGCCAAGUCGGAGGAGGGCUGCCUGGCUGUGUCGGCUGCCUGACGCGCUGAGCGAACAGGUGUAUGUAAAGGUGGCUCCGCCUCCCAGCAGACAGCGCCCGCCGGGACCUGCAGGUCACAGCACGCAGCGAGGGUUUCCAGAGUGAGGUGUAAAAUUCCAAAGGUUUGGGUUCGGUUCAGAUAAGCACCCACACGUUUGCCUCUUUGGUUGAAACCUGCCUAAAACGUCUCAAACGGCCUGUUAGGUUGGGCUGGGAAUCUUGAGCAGCUCCCUGUCUCCUGAGGCUUUCGGCGCUUCCUGGAAGAGUCAGCGCAGAUUAGUGUUUCCAAGUCUGAGCCCAAGAUGCAAAAGUCUUGAAGCUCACUUUCUAUUGUCUUGUGUCCUGAGGCCGUACUCCCUGCAGGAGCUGGGGUGCUCUGGAGAGGAAGCUGGAGCUCAGGCCUGAAGCUCCUGGCUGGGCUGGUAGGGAGGGUGCCUUUGCUUCCCACCUCUGAGUGAUUAUUUUCAUUCUGAGAAAGGGAAAACACGGCCUGGUUGUGGCCCCCAGAUUGGUGCUGGGGGCCCUUCUCUAGGAGGCGAGGGGUGACGGGGCAGGCCCGGGAACCAGGUGGAUUCCCUGGAGACCCAGCACCUCUGGACAGCUAGAGAGGAUGGGGUGUCCGGCCACUGACUGUAGGCGCAACCAGCACUGCCCGGGCCCUGUCCCAGCUCCUGGUUCCAUGCAGGGGACUGGGGAUUACAGAAGGGGAGCGAGUGACCCCAGGAAGAGCAGCUCCACUGGGCUCGGCCUCCUGCCCAAUACCCGAGAGGGGCAGGGCUCUGUGUGAACUGGCCCGUGUCCUGCCUUCUCUGCCAUGAGCGUGCUCUGCAUCCUGGGGUGGUCUCUGCCUGUUUCUUGUCCUCACCUUCCCCUGAUUGUCACGGUCGACAAGAACUGGUCAUAGUUCCUCUGGCCGUUUCCUGGGCGUCCUCAGAGCUGCCUUUGUAUCACUCACUCAAAUACAGCAAUUUGGAAAGAUUUCCCUGGAGUCUUCCCUGCCUGGUCCAGUUCUUCUCAGGCCUCCGCGGAGGGGCCUGCUGGCCCUGUAGGAGGCGUGGCGCUGCCACGGAGGGCAGCGCAUGUGGAGGGGGACCUGGGGUGGACCAGAGACAGGGGUCUUCACUGCCUCCUGGGGGACACUGGCUUCCCACAGCCCUGGGUUCCUGGCUGUGGACAGACAGCAGAUCUGAGAAGCAUUUCCUGCCUGAGGACAGGUUACGUCUGGAGCCGGGGCUGCAGCACAGUGGAGGUGGUGGUUUGGUUCUUGUUGUUUAGUGGCUCCCUCGUGUCCAACUCUGCUCCUCUGUCCACGGGAUUGUCCAGGCAAGAAUACUGGAGUGGGUUUCCAGGGGAUUUUCCCGACCUAGGGAUCGAACCUGCAUCUCCUGCCUUGGCAGGCGGGUUCUUUCCUGUUGAGGCACUGGGGACGGCCCUCUACAGGUUUUGGUCCAUAACUGUCUGUCAGAGUGACGACAUCUGACUCUUGUUGGUGUGGACUUACAGCCUGUCUCAUUUUGAGUCUGUGGUUAAAUGGGUGAGCCCGGACCUGCUUGCCAUCCCCGCGUUGCUGGGGUCCACAGGUUGGGGGUGGCUGGGUUGGGAUGGCACUGUCUGAAGCCCCUCGAUUUCUGAAGCCUUUGUUUAGUUUCACACAGGGGUCUGUGCUGAGGCAGCCAGAGCAGAGUCUCACUUCUUUUUUUGCUGGAGAAUAAAAAGGGCCGACAUCUCAUGUUUAUUAUUAUGGAAUUUUUCUCAGCAAAGCUGAAGAAAUACAUCAAGAUAGUUUGUUCUCAGGGGACGGAGUUCAGACAUUUCAUAACAUAUAAAUAAUUGUCCUUAACAUGAGCCACUUAUUCUAUGUCUUCUUUGUUUAUGGGGAAUUUUCCUUAUUGAAUGAUAAGAUGACUAACACUCAAUCUGUGGGCUUGAUGUCCAAUUCUGGAUUCUUGACCUCACCUCCUGCAUCUGGGGGCUGAGAAAAUUCCUGGGACGUGGUGACGAGAUCUUUGCUGAGCCCCUGUGUGCUCGCCCCACACCGCGGGGCCCUGGUUAGGACAGGCUGGCUAUGCCCACGUGGGCAGGCCCUCAGCAUGUCUGGCCCCUGAUCUCGGGUAACAGCUAUUCUCAUGUGUAACUGGAAUUUGAAAGUGGAAGGGCCCCCGCGGAAUAUGAGGCCAUGAAUUAUUUUCUCCUGGAGAACUUUCACCCCAGGUCUUCUGAAACUUGCUGGCCACUCACAGAACCUCGGAGUUUGUGGAAAAGCGCUGUGCUGGGCCUAGAGGUGCAUUUGUCGGGACCAGCAGAGUCUCCCUUGUCAGAAGCAGGCUGCUUUCCCGGAAGUCACAUGUUCUCUGGAAACACGGGGUGUCUCUGUGAGUCAGCAGCUUAGCAAAAGUCGUGAUUUAAUUUAACCAUGCUGAUUUUGGUUACCCUGCCCACACAAAGUGAACAUUUUCUGAGCUAUGAAACGAAAUUGGAGGCAAUUUCCUCUUUGUCUUAUUUCAUUAACAUUUCAGACUCAAAUUUGGCCUUGAGGAGGGUGCACCAAAGGCAGCGCUUUGGGCACAAGGAACCCAGAGGCGCUUAGUGUUUACGCCUACAGACUCUGACGUUGCUCAGCCUGCUGUUUUACAAUGUUCUGGAGCCAUGGGCACUCUGGGCCACCCGCAGGGGCCGUGCUGCGCUAGGCCCCUCUCAGGCCCUGGCCCUACAAGGUCACCUGUCCCCGGCAGGCUCUGACUGCACCCCCACCCUCUGAGAUCUCCUUCUUCCUCUCUUUGCUUCCUCAGUUUCACAGCAUGUGUCGCCAUCCAAGGGUAGAAUCCUUGUCCUGUUCACUGCUCGAUCCCCAGUCUCUAGGCAGUGCCCGGUACUUACUUAUGAAGUGUCCACAAUUAAAUGAAUUAUCUGUAAUGGCAAUUCCUCUAAACCAGAGACCAAAGCGCCCGGUUUUUGCCUUUUUUUUUUUUUUAAACCGAAACCCCAUGCUUUUCCCCUAGAUUAGCUUCCUGUGUAGGACAGUCUUUUUCUCUUCUUUCUUUGGCUUUAGUAGGCCUUUGAUCUCAGUUCACCAGCAAAGAAGGGGAGCCCAGGAGUCAGAGUGCUGUUAUCUCAGAGAUAAGAGUCAGUGAGCUGGAGAGGAUGCACGGGAGGGGAGCCCUGUGUGCAGCUGGAGAGGAUGCACGGGAGGGGAGCCCUGUGUGCAGCUGGAGAGGAUGCAAGUGGUGCAGCCCCUGUGGAGACUGUGGAGGAUCCUCCAAAACUAAAACUAGAGCUACCGUGUGACCCAGCAAUUCCACUCCUGGGUAUUCACCCAAAGGAAAUGAAAACACUCCCUUGAAAAUGUACCAGUGCCUCCACGGCCAUUAUGGCAGUGUUUAAAAGUCAGGACCGGGAAGCAACCCAAGUGUCGUGUUGCAGGUGACGUGUCGCUGCAGACAAUGUGGUUAUGCGAGCAGUGGAAUAGUACUCCGCCACAAAAAGUUGUGAAAUCUUGCCAUUUGCAACAACAUGGUUGUACUAGGAAGGCAUUAUGCUAUGACCUCAAUUACAUAUGGAAUCUAAAAGAAACUAAAAACAAACUCCAACCCCCCCUAAAUAAGUAAAACCCCCCAAAACCAAGCUGAUAGAAAAAGAGCUGAGAUUUGUGGUUAUCAGAGAUGGGGGGUGGAGGUGGAUGAAAGUGGUCAAAAUGUACAAGCUUCCAGUUACAAGAAG